rnacentral:rRNA from 1 species
AGUGUGGGUAGCAAACAGGAUUAGAUACCGUGGUAGUCCACACUGUAAACGAUGAAUGCUAGUUGUUAGAGGGUUUCCGCCCUUUAGUGACGCAGCUAAUGCACUAUGCAUUCCGCGUGGGGAGUACGACCGCAAGGUUGAAACUCAAAGGAAUUGAAGCGGGCCCGCACAAGCGGUGGAGCAUGUGGUUUAAUUCGAAGCAACGAGCAGAACCUUACCAGGUCUUGACAUCUUUAGCUAUCUUAAGAGAUUAAGAGUUCCCUUCGGGGAUGGAAUGACAGGUGGUGCAUGGUUGUUGUCAGCUCGUGUCGUGAGAUGUUGGGAUAUGUCCCGCAACGAGCGCCACCCUUCUCAUUAGUCGCCAGCAUUAAGUUGGGCACUCUAAUGAGACUGCCGGUGAUAAACCGGAGGAAGGUGGGGAUGACGUCAAAUCAUCAUGCCCCUUAUGACGUGGGCUACACACGUGCUACAAUGGAUGGUACAAUGAGUCGCAAACUCGCGAGGGUUAGCUAAUCUCUUAAAGCCAUUCUCAGUUCGGAUUGUAGUCUGCAACUCGAGUACAUGAAGUCGGAAUCGCUAGUAAUCGCGGAUCAGCACGCCGCGGUGAAUACGUUCCCGGGCCUUGUACACACCGCCCGUCACACCAUGAGAGUUUGUAACACCCAAAGUCGGUGGCGUAACCUUCGGGAGCCAGCCGCCUAAGGUGGGAUAGAUGAUUAGGGUGAAGUCGUAACAAGGUAGCAGUAGGAGAACCUGCGGCUGGAUCA